rnacentral:rRNA from 1 species
CCUACGGGUGGCAGCAGUGAGGAAUAUUGGUCAAUGGGCGGAAGCCUGAACCAGCCAAGUCGCGUGAGGGAUUAAGGCCCUGCGGGUCGUAAACCUCUUUUGCCGGGGAGCAGAGGUCCGGAUGUGUCCGGGCCGGGAGAGUACCCGGAGAAAAAGCAUCGGCUAACUCCGUGCCAGCAGCCGCGGUAAUACGGAGGAUGCGAGCGUUAUCCGGAUUUGUUGGGUUUAAAGGGUGCGUAGGCGGGCAUUUAAGCCGGCGGUCAAAUGUCGGGGCUCAACCCCGGCCUGCCGUCGGAACUGGGUGCCUUGAGUGGGCGAGAAGUAUGCGGAAUGCGUGGUGUAGCGGUGAAAUGCAUAGAUAUCACGAAGAACCCCGAUUGCGAAGGCAGCCUGCCGCAGCGUUACUGACGCUGAAGCUCGAAAGCGCGGGUAUCGAACAGGAUUAGAUACCCGAGUAGUC